rnacentral:rRNA from 1 species
GACGUAGGAUGCAAGCGUUGUCCGGAUUUAUUGGGCGUAAAGAGCUCGUAGGUGGUUCAGUAAGUCGGGUGUGAAACCUCCAGGCUCAACCUGGAGACGCCACCCGAUACUGCUGUGACUAGAGUCCAGUAGGGGAGCAUGGAAUUCCUGGUGUAGCGGUGAAAUGCGCAGAUAUCAGGAGGAACACCAGUGGCGAAGGCGGUGCUCUGGGCUGGAACUGACACUGAGGAGCGAAAGCGUGGGGAGCGAACAGG